UAGCGAUUAGUCCCAUGCUUGGCCCAGUGGUCCUUGAGAUCAACUGGAUUUGAGAGGUCAUAGCCUUCAGCGGCAAGCCGGCUAAGUAGUUUGCUGAAAGCACUUCCACUCAUCUUUCUUCCACCCACACGGGCGUGCCGCUUAUUUGGCACAGCAGGCAAUGGAUACAUGGAUAGAGCGGUUGUGCAACAUGAAGACUGCCAUCCAC
rnacentral:misc_RNA from 1 species